GAGGAAUGUAUAGCAAUAGCUACUUGCACCAUUGUCAUAAUGAUGCAAGAUCGACUAUGUCGAAUAAAAUUCUAGGUAGAAUUAUGAUAAUGACAUUGUCUGCCUAUGUGUCUUGACCAAAUUACGUGCCAGCAGUCGCGGUAAUACGUAGAAGACUAGUGUUAAUCAUGUUUAAUCGGUUUAAAGGGUACCUAGACGGCAAAUCAAGCCUUCGAUAAAAUAGAACUAAAGGACUAAUUUGCUAGAGUUACUUAUGAGGGGGUUUUAAAGUACUUUUGGUGUAGAGAUGAAAUUCUGUUAUACCUUUCUUCUAAGGGAGAGUGAUGGCACAGGUAUAGGCGAAGGCAUCCCCUUAUGUGAUAACUGACGUUGAGGGACGAAGGCUUUACAUAAUGAACAGGAUUAGUUACCCCAGUAGUCGAAGCAGAAAAUGAUGAAUGUCAUAGAUUAGAUAUAAGUUUAUUCUAUAAAUGAAAGUGUAAGCAUUCCACCUCAAGAGUAAUUUGGCAACAUUGGAACUGAAAUCAUUAGACCGUUUCUGAAACCAG
rnacentral:rRNA from 1 species